rnacentral:rRNA from 1 species
AUUGAACGCUGGCGGCAUGCUUUACACAUGCAAGUCGAACGGUAACAGGCCUUCGGGUGCUGACGAGUGGCGAACGGGUGAGUAAUGCAUCGGAACGUACCCAGAGGUGGGGGAUAACGCAGCGAAAGCUGUGCUAAUACCUCAUGUGAUCUGAGGAUGAAAGCGGGGGACCGAGCAGCAAUGUUUGGCCUCGCGCCUUUGUAGCGGCUGAUGUCGGAUUAGCUAGUUGGUGGGGUAAGGGCCUACCAAGGCGACGAUCCGUAGCUGGUCUGAGAGGACGACCAGCCACACUGGGACUGAGACACGGCCCAGACUCCUACGGGAGGCAGCAAUGGGGAAUUUUGGACAAUGGGCGCAAGCCUGAUCCAGCAAUGCCGCGUGCGGGAAGAAGGCCUUCGGGUUGUAAACCGCUUUUGGCAGGAACGAAACGGUGUCCGCUAAUACCGGGCGCUAAUGACGGUACCUGCAGAGUAAGCACCGGCUAACUACGUG